rnacentral:rRNA from 1 species
UACGAAGGGGGCUAGGCGUUGCUCGGAAUCACUGGGCGUAAAGCGCAACGUAGGCGGCUUUCUAAGUCAGGGGUGAAAUCCUGGAGCUCAACGUCCAGAACUGCCUUUGAUCACUGGAAAGCUUUGAGUUCGGGAGAGGUGAGUGGAACUGCGAGUGUAGAGGUGAAAUUCGUAGAUAUUCGCAAGAACACCAGUGGCGAAGGCGGCUCACUGGCCCGAUACUGACGCUGAGGUGCGAAACGUGGGGAGCAAA